rnacentral:rRNA from 1 species
GAUGAACGCUGGCGGCGUGCCUAAUACAUGCAAGUCGAGCGAACGGACGAGACGUUUGCUUCUCUGAUGUUAGCGGCGGACGUGUGUGUAACACGUGGAUAACCUACUUAUCAGACUGGGAUAACCUCGGGACUCCGGCGCUAAUACCGGAUGAUCUCUUGAUCCGCAUGGUUCAAUAGUGAAAGACAGCCUUGCUGUCUCUUAUAGAUGCAUCCGCGCUGCAUGAGAUAGUUGGUAAGGGAACGGCUUACCAAGGCAACGCUGCAUAGCCGACCUGAGAGGGUGAUCGGCGACACUAGAACGGAGACGCGGUCCAGAGGACUACGGGAGGCAGCAGUAGGGAAUGUGCCGCAGUGGGCGGAAGCCUGACGGAGCAACGCCGCGUGAGUUAUGGAGGUCUUCGGAGCGUAAAACUCUGUUAUUAGGGAAGAACAGAUGUGUAAGUUACUGUGCACAGCGUGACGGUACCUGAUCAGAAAGCCACGGCUAACUACGUG